ACGUAGGAGGCGAGCGUUAUCCGGAUUUAUUGGGCGUAAAGCGCGUGCAGGUGGUAUCGUAAGUCGGAUGUGAAAGCCUCUGGCUUAACUAGAGGAUGUCGUUCGAUACUGCGGAACUUGAGGUCGGGAGAGGGAAGCGGAAUUCCCGGUGUAGUGGUGGAAUGCGUAGAUAUCGGGAGGAACACCAGUGGCGAAGGCGGCUUCCUGGCCCGCACCUGACACUAAGACGCGAAAGCGUGGGGAGCGAACGG
rnacentral:rRNA from 1 species